GGUGGGGUGUCCGAGUGGUUUAAGGAGCUGGUCUUGAAAACCAGUGACCUUCACGGGUCCGUGGGUUCGAAUCCCACCCCCACCGCCA
rnacentral:tRNA from 1 species